rnacentral:tRNA from 1 species
GGAGAGGUGGCCGAGUGGUUUAAGGCAGCGGUCUUGAAAACCGCCGUGGCAGCGAUGUCACCGUGGGUUCGAAUCCCACCCUCUCCG